GGGAAAGUGGCUGAGUGGUUAAUGGCGGCAGACUGUAAAUCUGUUGAAUUGAUUCUACGUAGGUUCGAAUCCUGCCUUUCCCA
rnacentral:tRNA from 2 species